rnacentral:rRNA from 1 species
CGAACGCUGGCGGCGUGCUUAACACAUGCAAGUCGAACGGAAAGGCCCCUUUGGGGGUACUCGAGUGGCGAACGGGUGAGUAACACGUGAGUAACCUGCCCUUGACUUCGGGAUAACUUCAGGAAACUGGGGCUAAUACCGGAUAGGAAUCCUUGCUGCAUGGUGGGGGUUGGAAAGCUUCGGCGGUUUUGGAUGGACUCGCGGCUUAUCAGCUUGUUGGUGGGGUAGUGGCUUACCAAGGCUUUGACGGGUAGCCGGCCUGAGAGGGCGACCGGCCACAUUGGGACUGAGAUACGGCCCAGACUCCUACGGGAGGCAGCAGUGGGGAAUAUUGCACAAUGGGCGGAAGCCUGAUGCAGCAACGCCGCGGGCGGGAUGACGGCCUUCGGGUUGUAAACCGCUUUCAGCAGGGGCGAAGCUUGUGGUGACGGUACCUGCAGAAGAAGCACCGGCUAACUACGUG